GCCUAGUUGGCCUGGUUGGUAGGGCGUCUGCCUUGUAAACGCUAGGCCGCGGGCUCGAUUCCUGCUCGGGGCG
rnacentral:tRNA from 1 species